GGAUCUCUAACAGACGUUACACAUUUUUUGUUUAAGUGAACCUUCAAAGCUGAUUGGAAUCUGAUAAAAGCACUGGCCAAAAUAAGUCCGACAACCAUUGCCAGUGACAUAGUGCCAGCGGUAAAGCAUACAACCUCCGGUUUCACUCGAAUAGAUAGAUAGAGAUAUACAUGACACCAUGCCACACAAUGUCACAAAGAUAGCAUGGUGCUAGCUAACCAAGCUCUGCAGAUGUUAUAAUUAAACUUCAAACAUGCUGGGGCCAUCUUUGGUUCUCAAUCUUUGAUUUUGCCUUCACUGACUUCCCCUGUCAAGUCCAACAUUUUUGUCUUCAUUGACCUUCCUUGGGAACCCCAACAUCCUGUCUACGCCAGUGAUACCAAACAGAAAAGCACUACCAUAAACAAAAAAUGUCGCCUUGCAAGCCAAAUCUAGUACACCACGAGCCCUUUCUGUGUACUUCUUAAAGCGCCUGCAAGUAGAGAGGGGUAAGUCAAAUGAGAUCAUAUACUCUCAAACAAGCAGCAAAUUAAGGAAGAACAUCAAGUGGUUUUGUAUCCUACAUAGGGUCAAAUGGUGUUCUUUGAGUGGCUUGUGCAGAAAAAUGCUUCUCAAUAGCCUUGUUCAACACAUCAUACAGCUGCUCCUCCUCCUUCUGCUGGAUCUGGCAUGUAGAGUGUGAACGAGCAUGCUGGAUUGAUACACAUAGAUAACGAUCAAUGUACUUAAUUCGCAUUGUUGAUCAUUAUUUAAGUACUGAUUGUGGUUUGUAAAUAAUUAAGAAGAAUCAUGACCUGUCGUCAAUACAAUAAGUGAGGUUCAAAAUAUACAGAAUGCAUCCUUCAUGUGUAGCAACUAGUAACAGAUGGACCCAAUAUAUCUUAUGUGUUGCAAUUAAUCAUACUUACCGUAUAUCGUCAACCAUACUAACUGUACAUAGAUGGAGCCAAUAUAUCUUAUGCAUUGCAAUUAAUGAUUUGCUUAUGGGAUAGGUAAAAAGUCAUGCUCAGAGCAACCAGGAAAAUAAGCUGCUUAAAGUCCUGUUGCUACAAGCAGCAGUACGUCAAGAUGUACAGGUUCAGGUCAGGUUAAACAAGUACGAUGAUGCUAAGUAAUCUUGCUCCUGUUUCUAGCUAAGACAUGCAUGUUGCUGUACCGAUUGCACAGAAUUCGAUUAUGGCUGGCUGCAUCCUUGUUGACGUGAGAUAAAUCAUGAGAAAAGAAGAUGUUAACUUUGAUUAAGAUAUCUCACUGGAGGGCGCAUGGGAGCUUAACGAUAUGAGUUGCUUGCAGCCCUGUUGCUACAAGCAGCAGUACGUCAAGAUGUACAGGUUAACAUCAGGUUAAACAAGUAUGUCAAGAUGUAUCUUAAAGUCCUGUUGAUACAAGCAGCAGUACGUCAAGAUGCUAAUAGAGUACUACGUACAAGAGACACAUGCAUGUUGCAGUUUCGAUUGCACAUAAUUCGUUUACGGCUACUACAUCCAUGGUGACGUGAGAUCGAUCACGAGAAAAAAAGAUGUCAAUUUUGGGUAAGAUACCUGGCCGGAGGCCUUGCUGGAGAGCUCGCGGGAGCGCAUGAGCCUGCUUGGCACGAGCAGGCCUCCCUCCUCCGCGACCGCCGCCUGCGUUCGCUGGAGCAGGGAGCCACCGAGCCUCCUCGCCAAGCAUCAAACCGCCGCCAUCGUCGCUAGCCUGCCAACAACAUAUCGGUUAGGGAUUAGGAUGACAAGGCCGUCACGAAUCACCACCGCAGGCCGGCCGGCCGGCCGGCCCCGGCUACCCCACUCCCCACACCCAUAGUCACACACGCACACAAACCAGCGACCGGAUUGCAGUUCUACGGAGAUUUCGGCGGGUUUUCAUGAGCGUACCUUGGGGAUCUGGGUGUCCUUUGUUCCUCGGGCGGCUAGGGUUCGUCGUUCGCCUUCCUGUCGCCUCCGCCGAGAAGAAAGAAGGGGAAAGUGGAUGUGGUCGCUGUCGGGAAGGUGCGGUGACAACUUAUAAUCUUGGAGCAAGCCCGGCCUAGUUCUUGUUCUUGGUUUCAGCCCAACUGGGUUGCAUUCCGUGUAGAUUUCGGUAGGUUAUGGGCCAGUUUUUGUACAGGCUUUUCUAAGCUUUCAGAAUAAGUUGUUCCUUAUCCAGCUGAUUCUAGAAGGUCAACCAAAAUUUCCUUUUUAAAAGCCUAUUAAUCAAGUCUUAAC
rnacentral:lncRNA from 1 species